GUGUCAGAUCAGUUGACCAUAGAAGUAAUAUAAUAUCUUUUCGAUCUCGUGGUAAAUCUAACCCUGUAUAUAAUCUUUGAAUCCAACUUUAGUUCGAUUUUCUUCUUGUUGUUUCCAAUAUUUUUAUUAUUGUGAUCAAGAAUGGAUAUACUAUCCUGCAAAAACAGAACCUUGAUCCUGAAAUUGUGUACAGUGAUGUAGAAAGCUUGGGAUGCUUAUCCCAAAAAGGAUAAUCUGAAACACCAUCUCAGUAGGGCCCAAAGUCAUUCAAAAUAAAAAGAGGCGGUAGAUUAGGGGAACCAGAAAAAGAAAAUAUCACAAAUCUAUUUACCUCUGCAGUGACAGUGCUGCCAAGUAAAAAAAAGAAUAGUGAAGAAGUUCAUCAUCAGCCUAAAAAGCAUCGUUUAUUUGCAGAAUGAAAUGGAUACAUAAGAGAAUCAAGAUUAAAUUGACGACUUGAAUAGCAAAAUUUCUAGCCUUUAAUUUGAUGCAAAAAGAGAGCAAGAAAAAAUGAAUUACUAUCCAUUUCUAAUUAUAUUUUAUUUCUGGUCUCUUUAUUUAUUUUACAGUUUCCUUUUUUCAAUAGUUCUCAUAAUACUUAAUAUUCAAUAAAAGUAUAUCUAAUUUA